GUGGGGAAUAUUGGACAAUGGGCGAAAGCCUGAUCCAGCCAUGCCGCGUGUGUGAAGAAGGUCUUCGGAUUGUAAAGCACUUUAAGUUGGGAGGAAGGGCAGUAAGUUAAUACCUUGCUGUUUUGAUGUUACCGACAGAAUAAGCACCGGCUAACUUCGUGCCAGCAGCCGCGGUAAUACGAAGGGUGCAAGCGUUAAUCGGAAUUACUGGGCGUAAAGCGCGCGUAGGUGGUUUUGUAAGUUGGAGGUGAAAUCCCCGGGCUCAACCUGGGAACUGCCUCCAAAACUGCAUGACUAGAGUACGGUAGAGGGUAGUGGAAUUUCCUGUGUAGCGGUGAAAUGCGUAGAUAUAGGAAGGAACACCAGUGGCGAAGGCGACUACCUGGACUGAUACUGACACUGAGGUGCGAAAGCGUGGGGAGCAAACAGGAUUAGAUACCCCUGUAGUCC
rnacentral:rRNA from 1 species